GACGAACGCUGGCGGCGUGCCUAAUACAUGCAAGUAGAACGCACAGGAUGCACCGUAGUUUACUACACCGUAUUCUGUGAGUUGCGAACGGGUGAGUAACGCGUAGGUAACCUGCCUGGUAGCGGGGGAUAACUAUUGGAAACGAUAGCUAAUACCGCAUAAGAACAUUUACUGCAUGGUAGAUGUUUAAAAGGUGCAAAUGCAUCACUACCAGAUGGACCUGCGUUGUAUUAGCUAGUAGGUGAGGUAACGGCUCACCUAGGCGACGAUACAUAGCCGACCUGAGAGGGUGAUCGGCCACACUGGGACUGAGACACGGCCCAGACUCCUACGGGAGGCAGCAGUAGGGAAUCUUCGGCAAUGGGGGGAACCCUGACCGAGCAACGCCGCGUGAGUGAAGAAGGUUUUCGGAUCGUAAAGCUCUGUUGUUAAGGAAGAACGAGUGUGAGAAUGGAAAGUUCAUACUGUGACGGUACUUAACCAGAAAGGGACGGCUAACUACGUGCCAGCAGCCGCGGUAAUACGUAGGUCCCGAGCGUUGUCCGGAUUUAUUGGGCGUAAAGCGAGCGCAGGCGGUUAGAUAAGUCUGAAGUUAAAGGCAGUGGCUCAACCAUUGUAGGCUUUGGAAACUGUUUAACUUGAGUGCAGAAGGGGAGAGUGGAAUUCCAUGUGUAGCGGUGAAAUGCGUAGAUAUAUGGAGGAACACCGGUGGCGAAAGCGGCUCUCUGGUCUGUAACUGACGCUGAGGCUCGAAAGCGUGGGGAGCGAACAGG
rnacentral:rRNA from 1 species